AGCUGGCUGGUGCCGUGAGGUGACUUCUGCCCAGUGCUCUGAUUGUCAAUGCGAAGAGAUUCAGUCAAGCGCGGGUAAACGGCGGGAGUAACUAUGACUCUCUUAAGGUAGCCAAAUGCCUCGUCAACCAAUUAUUGACGCGCAUGAAUGGAUCAACGAGAUUCCUGCUGUCCCUAGUCGCGGUCUGGUGAACCAACAGCCAAGGGAACGGGCUUGGAUGUGCCAGCGGGGAAAGAAGACCCUGUUGAGUUUGACUCUAGUCCGAUGCUGUGCAACGACAUGGAGGGUGUAGCACAGGUGGGAGGCAAGCGCCUUGAAGCAACGCAGUGUGUGAGACGGGACCGGUUUGGGUCGAGGGACCACACGUCCCUCCCCGGGCCGUGACCCGUCCGCACUGGCAGAUCUUGGUGUGAGCCAGCAAUGAAAUACCACUACCUUCACCGUCGUUUUACUCAUCGAGUUGCCUGAGAAGGGUGGCCAACUUAGAGAUCGUGCGACUCCUCUGGGGUCGCUCGUGGCAAUCACCUGCUUCGUGCACAAGGGCUCGUUGAGGGCGCCACAUGGGUUUCGGCCCCUCUGUGGUUGCCUGAGGGUCCGACUCUGGCUCAUCCCCUAUCAGAGGCCUCGAGACACAGAUCAGUCUGGGAGUUUGGCUGGGGCGGCACUACUGUUACAUCACAACGCAGUAGUCCUGAAGCAUUGCUCAGAUGGAACAGAAAUCCCUCAGGGAUGAGAAGGCUAAAAGCGCUGCUGAUGCUGUGACCUCCAGUGCAGGUCCGAAACGUGCAAGUGUGGCCUAGCGAUCCUUUGGUCAGGUGCGCGAGUUCUGGAUAUCGAAGCCAGAGGUGUCAGAAAAAUUACCACAGGGAUAACUGGCUUGUGGCUGCCAAGCGUUCAAAGCGACGUGGCUUUUUGAUCCUUCGAUGUCGGCUCUUCCUAGCUUGCCACCCGCAGCCGAGUGCAAGAGUUGGAUUGUUC
rnacentral:rRNA from 1 species